AGUGACAGAUGGAGGAGGAAAUCUUAGAGGCCUUUAGGAUCCCAGAUUGCUGCCUUCAAUGGUUUCCAUUAGUAUUGCCAAUCCCUUCUUCCCACCAGGCACAAACUCACAACUGCAUGGCAAGUCCUAAACUCUUGUGUCCAUGUAGAUCAGAAUGGGAACUGGUUUUCUUUCAUUCACUGUGUAUGAAGAAAAUACGCAGUUAUCUCAUGAAGGCCGAGGUUGUGUCAUUCCCUAAGCUUCUUCCUGUGAGCUCACGCUGGGCAGGGCCAGCACAGAUCGUUCAUCUUUUCUGCACCCCAUGACCGAGAAGCUGAUCAAUUUCCAGAAUAGCUCUAUCUGUUGAUAAAAUUGGAAAUGUUUGGGCCAA
rnacentral:lncRNA from 1 species